rnacentral:rRNA from 1 species
CCUACGGGAGGCAGCAGUGGGGGAUAUUGCACAAUGGGGGGAACCCUGAUGCAGCGACGCCGCGUGGGUGAAGAAGCGCCUCGGCGCGUAAAGCCCUGUCAGCAGGGAAGAAAAUGACGGUACCUGAAGAAGAAGCCCCGGCUAACUACGUGCCAGCAGCCGCGGUAAAACGUAGGGGGCAAGCGCUAUCCGGAUUUCCUGGGGGUAAAGGGGGCGCAGACGGGGAUGCAAGCCAGGAGUGAAAGCCCGGGGCCCAACCCCGGGACUGCUCUUGGAACUGCGUGGCUGGAGGGCAGGAGGGGCAGGCGGAAUUCCUGGUGUAGCGGUGAAAUGCGUCGAUAUCAGGAGGAACACCGGUGGCGAAGGCGGCCUGCUGGACUGCAACUGACGUUGAGGCCCGAAAGCGUGGGGAGCAAACAGGAGUAGAUACCCUUGUAGUC